AGGGACUUCCUCUGUUUUUCUAUCAAUUUGAGCACCUCAGUUUCCUAUGGAGACACAAUGCAAGGACUCAUGGUCGAUCUCUUUAGCUGAACCAUUCUUCAACUCAGAAAACAAAAUGGCGUUCACCAUCAUUGUGGCGCUCAAGCAGGCGGGCAUUCGUUCUAUUAGGCGUCCACGUGUCAUCGUCAAUCGGAACAGGGUAUGCAAAGGAUGAAGUUUACAGCCGGCCGGCCUCCACCGACUUUUUUUUCCCAUUUCUUGGUUGGAAAUAAUCACUUAC
rnacentral:lncRNA from 1 species